rnacentral:rRNA from 1 species
GACGAACGCUGGCGGCGUGCCUAAUACAUGCAAGUCGAGCGAACAGAUAAGGAGCUUGCUCCUUUGACGUUAGCGGCGGACGGGUGAGUAACACGUGGAUAACCUACCUAUAAGACUGGGAUAACUUCGGGAAACCGGAGCUAAUACCGGAUAACAUAUUGAACCGCAUGGUUCAAUAGUGAAAGGCGGCUUUGCUGUCACUUAUAGAUGGAUCCGCGCCGUAUUAGCUAGUUGGUAAGGUAACGGCUUACCAAGGCAACGAUACGUAGCCGACCUGAGAGGGUGAUCGGCCACACUGGAACUGAGACACGGUCCAGACUCCUACGGGAGGCAGCAGUAGGGAAUCUUCCGCAAUGGGCGAAAGCCUGACGGAGCAACGCCGCGUGAGUGAUGAAGGUCUUCGGAUCGUAAAACUCUGUUAUCAGGGAAGAACAAAUGUGUAAGUAACUGUGCACAUCUUGACGGUACCUGAUCAGAAAGCCACGGCUAACUACGUG